AAGUUGUGAAAUAAACUUUUUCAAAGCUCUGACUUGAGAAAUGUGUUUGUAAAGAGUUUGGUCUCGCUGCCCACGAUGAAGAGUGAAGAUGUUUCCUUCAGAGCAGGAAACUGGUGGAAAGACUUUGGUUCUUCUCCACUGUUGAAGACUGGAGGAGGAAACAUGUUCUGAGUGGA
rnacentral:snoRNA from 1 species